rnacentral:rRNA from 1 species
GACGAACGCUGGCGGCGUGCUUAACACAUGCAAGUCGAACGGAAAGGCCCGGCUUUUGUGGUGGACUCGAGUGGCGAAAGGGUGGGUCACACGUGAGUAACCUGCCCUUGACUUUGGGAUAACUUCAGGAAACCUGGGCUAAUACCUGUAAGUAGCGCCUGCUGCAUAGUGGGGGUUGGGAGGUUUCGGAGGAUGGGGAUGGACUCGCGGCUGAGCAGCUUGCUGGUGGGGUAGUGGGUUACCAAGGCUUUGACGGGUAGCCGGCCUGAGAGGGUGGCCGGACACAUUGGGACUGAGAUACGGCCCAGACUCCUACGGGAGGCAGCAGUGGGGAAUAUUGCACAAUGGGCGGAAGCCUGAUGCAGCAACGCCGCGUGCGGGAUGACGGCCUUCGGGUUGUAAACCGCUUUCGCCUGUGACGAAGCGUGAGUGACGGUAAUGGGUAAAGAAGCACCGGCUAACUACGUG